UAUUAACACCGACGUGGUUUGUUGUUGUGGUAAGAAUAUUUUAUUAUUUUUAUAUCAAAAUAUUCAAAAUAAAUUUAAAUUAAAUCAGAAAAUUGAAAAGUCAACUCCUAUGAAGUCAUUGAUAUAUUUUCUUCCACAUAAACCUUGAAAAAAUUCAUUUUGAAUAACAAAAAUUUAAAAUGACCAUCCAAAACAAAAUUGUUUUGAUGAGUCAUAAAAUCACUUCUAGUUUUAUGGUUUAGGGUUUAGAGUCUAGGGUUUAGAGAUUAG
rnacentral:lncRNA from 1 species